GAUGAAGUCAGCUAAUUAAGCUUUCGGGCCCAUACCCCGAACAUGACGGUUAAACUCCCUCCUCCAUCA
rnacentral:tRNA from 2 species